CAUAUGCUUGUCUCAAAGAUUAAGCCAUGCAUGCCUAAGUGCAAGUCCUUGAAACGGUGGAACGCGAAUGGCUCAUUAAAUCAGCUAUUAUUGAUUAGAUGAUAUGUCUAAAAGAAGGACAACUGUAGUAAUUCUAGAGCUAAUACUUGCCAACUAUGUCCUGACCGCAAGGAAAGGAUGGCUUUAUUAGAACAAAAUCAUCCGUAUUGUUGCAGGCAACUGUGAUUGUACGUGUUAGUUUUGUUGACUCUUGAUAACGGUUACAGAUCGCAUGACCUUGUGUCAGCGAUAUGUCUUUCAAAUGUCUGACCUAUCAGCUUUCGACGGUAGGAUAGUGGCCUACCGUGGCUAUAACGGGUGACGGGGAAUCUGGGUUCGAUUCCGGAGAGGCAGCCUGAGAAACGGCUACCACGUCCAAGGACAGCAGCAGGCGCGCAAAUUACCCACUCCUAGCUCAGGGAGGUAGUGACAAAAAAUAACAAUGCGAAACUCAAUAGAGGCUUCGUAAUUGGAAUGACUUUUGCUCAAAUACUAUUAGAAGUAUCUAUUGGAGGGCAAGUCUGGUGCCAGCAGCCGCGGUAAUUCCAGCUCCAAUAGCGUAUAUUAACGUUGUUGCAGUUAAAAAGCUCGUAGUUGAAUUCAAAACGUGAGCGGCUGCUUGCUCAUCCUGUUGAGUUGCGUCCUCGGAUGUAACGAAGUAGGGUGUAGCGGGUAGCUGUUCUGUUUAAAAUGGUCGUGAAUCUUUGAUGAUCUUAACCGGUUGUCUUAGAUGAUCGGCAAGUUUACUUUGAAAAAAUUGGAGUGCUCAAAGCAGGCCUAUGCCUGGACAGUAGUGCAUGGAAUAAUGAAAUAGGACUUCGGUCUUAUUUUGUUGGUUUUAGAGAUCGAAGUAAUGAUUAAAAGGAACUGACGGGGGCAUCUGUAUACCAGGGGGAGAGGUGAAAUUCGUAGAUCCUUGGUAGACAAACUACUGCGAAAGCAUUUGCCAAGAAUGUUUUCAUUAAUCAAGAACGAAAGUCAGAGGUUCGAAGACGAUCAGAUACCGUCCUAGUUCUGACCAUAAACUAUACCAUCUGGCAAUCUGUGGUGACAUGUUUUAUAGUCUCACAGGCAGCCCCCGGGAAACCAAAGACUUUGGGUCCCGGGGGUAGUAUGGUUGCAAAGCUGAAACUUAAAGGAAUUGACGGAAGGGCACCACCAGGAGUGGAGCCUGCGGCUUAAUUUGACUCAACACGGGAAACCUCACCCGGCCCGGAUACUGGGGUGAUUAACAGAUUGAAAGCUCUUUUUUGAUUCAGUAGAUAGUGGUGCAUGGCCGUUCUUAGUUGGUGGAGCGAUUUGUCUGGUUAAUUCCGAUAACGAACGAGAUUCUAAUCUGCUAACUAGUAUGUUAGAAGUCAUUUGGCUUCUAACACAGACUUCUUAGAGAGAUAAUCAGUGUAAAAUAGCUGAAUGAAAAAGAGCAAUAACAGGUCUGUGAUGCCCUUAGAUGUCCGGGGCCGCACGCGCGCUACAAUUGUCGUAUCAGCGAGUUUUGCCCGUUCGAAAGGAUGGGAAAAACUGUUGAAACUCGACAAUGACCGGGAUCAUGGAACGCAAUUGUCCAUGUGAACGAGGAAUUCCCAGUAAGGGCACGUCAUCAGCGUGCGCUGAUUACGUCCCUGCCCUUUGUACACACCGCCCGUCGCUACUACCGAUUGAAUGGUUUAGUGAGGUUAUUGGAUUUGUGCUAGUGAUGUGGCAACACAUUACCAGUGCGGAGAAGAUAACCGAACUUGAUCAUUUAGAGGAAGUAAAAGUCGUAACAAGGUUUCCGUAGUGAAC
rnacentral:rRNA from 1 species